rnacentral:rRNA from 1 species
UACAGAGGGGGCAAGCGUUUAUUCGGAAUUAUUGGGCGUAAAGGGCGCGUAGGCGGCUUGGCAAGUGGAAGGUGAAAUCCCUCGGCUUAACCGAGGAACUGCCCUCCAAACUGCUUCGCUUGAGACCGGGAGAGGUGAGUGGAAUUCCCAGUGUAGCGGUGAAAUGCGUAGAUAUUGGGAGGAACACCAGUGGCGAAGGCGGCUCACUGGACCGGUACUGACGCUGAUGCGCGAAAGCGUGGGGAGCAAAGC